rnacentral:rRNA from 1 species
UACAGAGGUCCCCGAGCGUUGUUCGGAUUCAUUGGGCGUAAAGGGUGCGUAGGCGGGCGGGGCAAGUCUGAUGUGAAAUCCUGGGGCUCAACCCUGGGAACUGCAUUGGAUACUGCCCUUGCUAGAGUACUGGAGAGGGAAACUGGGAAUUUACGGUGUAGCAGUGAAAUGCGUAGAGAUCGUAAGGAAGACCAGUGGCGAAGGCGAGUUUCUGGGACAGUUACUGACGCUGAGGGCACGAAGGCCAGGGGGGAGCAAACGGGG